AAUGAACGUUGGCGGCGUGGAUUAGGCAUGCAAGUCGUGCGAGAACCAAUUAGCUUGCUAUGAGGUGGACAGCGGCGAAAGGGAGAGUAACGCGUGGUUACGUGCCCUCGGGACCGGGAUAGUGUCGGGAAACUGGCAGUAAUACCGGAUAACAUCUUUGGAUCAAAUGGUGUGAUUCCGCCCGAGGAUCGGACCGCGUACUAUUAGCUUGUUGGCGGGGUAACGGCCCACCAAGGCUGCGAUGGUUACCGGGUGUGAGAGCAUGGCCCGGCUCACUGGGACUGAGACACUGCCCAGACAUCUACGGAUGGCUGCAGUCGAGAAUCUUCGGCAAUGGACGAAAGUCUGACCGAGCGACGCCGCGUGCGGGAUGAAGGCCCUCGGGUUGUAAACCGCUGUCAGUUAGGAGGAAAUGCAUGAGGGUUCUCUCUCAUGUUUGACCGAUUUUCAGAGGAAGGACGGGCUAAGUUCGUG
rnacentral:rRNA from 1 species